GUGGGGAAUUUUAGACAAUGGGGGCAACCCUGAUCCAGCAAUGCCGCGUGCAGGAAGAAGGCCUUCGGGUUGUAAACUGCUUUUGUACGGAACGAAAAGGCUCUGGUUAAUACCUGGGGCACAUGACGGUACCGUAAGAAUAAGCACCGGCUAACUACGUGCCAGCAGCCGCGGUAAUACGUAGGGUGCAAGCGUUAAUCGGAAUUACUGGGCGUAAAGCGUGCGCAGGCGGUGCUGUAAGACAGGCGUGAAAUCCCCGGGCUUAAACUGGGAAUGGCGCUUGUGACUGCAGUGCUGGAGUGUGGCAGAGGGGGAUGGAAUUCCGCGUGUAGCAGUGAAAUGCGUAGAUAUGCGGAGGAACACCGAUGGCGAAGGCAAUCCCCUGGGCCUGCACUGACGCUCAUGCACGAAAGCGUGGGGAGCAAACAGGAUUAGAAACCCCUGUAGUCC
rnacentral:rRNA from 1 species